GACGAACCGAGCGAACGUUGUUCGGAAUCACUGGGCUUAAAGGGCGCGUAGGCGGGCUGCCGCGUCCGGGGUGAAAUCCCACGGCUCAACCGUGGAACUGCCCCGGAUACGGGCGGCCUCGAGGGGGGUAAGGGCAUCUGGAACUGUGAGUGGAGCGGUGAAAUGCGUUGAUAUUCACAGGAACUCCGGUGGCGAAGGCGAGGUGCUGGACCCCUCCUGACGCUGAGGCGCGAAAGCCAGGGGAGCAAACGGG
rnacentral:rRNA from 1 species